CUUUCUGAUUGUUUUGCUUUGCUUUGUGUUCAUUCAUUUGGGACAGAGUCUCACCAUAGCCCAGGCUGGCUUUGAACUCAAUCCUCCUUCUGGGGAGCCUUCCAGACUUCUGGCGGGGGUGGGUUGCGACUGUGACGGCAGAACAGGCAAAAACCUUCUCCCUCUGAAGCUGACUCAGAACAGGAGGCGCAAGUGGAAGCCUGAGGUCUCGCCCUGGCUGGGAACUCAAGAGCCUCAGGCCCCACAGAGGCCCAGGACAGCCAGACAGCCGCCUCUAGACACCUUGUCAGCUCCCACGGACAGGGUGGGAUGGGGCAGGGAGGCUUCAGCCAAUUUGAACUCGGGACUGGGAGCGGAAAACAGGCAGAAGCUGCGGGCGGAUGAGCUGCGGAGAGAAUAUUACGAGGAACAGAGGAACAAAUUCGAGAAUUUAGCGGAGGAACAAAAAGAUGUUGGUCUCUGAAAUCUUCUCUGAGCCAGGAACUGGCCACACGGAGCGAGGACAGUGAGACGCAGCAGCCCCCACAGGUCUCUCAGGGAUCCAGACAGAAGGAGCCAAGAGGCAAGCAGGUCGGGCUCACCCGGGGUGAGGUGUUAAAGUAGGUAGUCCCCAUCUCAGUGGCCCCUGGCCCUGCCCUAGAAGGUCUGUGCUGCAGCCUGAUCACCCGAGUCCUCACCCUGGGGCCAUGCUCAAAGCACCCGUCUUCUGAGCCUUUCUCCAAGCCUCCAGCAGCUGCCUGCAGCCAGGACCCGACCGUAGCCAUAUUGCCUGAUGGAGCCAACUCAUCUGAGAAUGGUUAGUGGUAGGUAGAUGCGUGACCUCUCCCAAGUUACGCUGCACGAAAGGGUUGCCAGUCACCUCCUGCGGCCGGGUCAUACUCUGGAAGAGAGGGUGGUCCACAGAGCUGUGGAAAUGUCCAAAGGGACAGCUGUGGCUCCAGCCUGGGGAGCCAAGUACCCUACUAAGAGAUUUUCACUCCAGGCUCCCACGGGGAGGACACACUGGCAGCAGUGAAGGCGGCUCCAGAGGUGGGGCCCCUGGGGCCCUUCCCUCCACACGAGUCUGCUCCACAGGUGCCCAGGGCCACGGGGUCGUCCCACUGGGCCCCCCUCUUGGCCAAGGUCACACGGGGUGCAGGUUCACUAGCACAAAAACCAGGCUCCAUGCUGAAGUUCUCAUUUGGGAAAGGGAGCCGAGGAAGGUAUUUGUAGGUCUGUAAUCUUCAGCAUCAUCUUCUGCUAGGAUUCUCAUCCUUCCUCCCAACGUUGUUCACGAACACUUUUCUUUUUUAAAUUAGACAAAAAUAAAGAAAUUAAAGUAUCUAUACCAUACGUAUAUAAUUUGCUACUUUAACCAUUUUGAAGUUCACAAGUUG
rnacentral:lncRNA from 1 species